CCGGCGCGCUGGUCGGCGGCAAGACCGGCACCGCCCAGCACGGCGUCGGCAACGCCGGGGUGCCCUACGCCUGGUUCGUCUCCUGGGCGCAGGCC
rnacentral:tRNA from 2 species